rnacentral:rRNA from 1 species
CCUACGGGAGGCAGCAGUGGGGAAUAUUGGACAAUGGGGGGAACCCUGAUCCAGCCAUGCCGCGUGUGUGAAGAAGGCCCUCGGGUUGUAAAGCACUUUCAGUGAGGAAGAACGCCUGGUGGUUAAUACCCAUCAGGAAAGACAUCACUCACAGAAGAAGCACCGGCUAACUCCGUGCCAGCAGCCGCGGUAAUACGGAGGGUGCGAGCGUUAACCGGAAUUACUGGGCGUAAAGCGCGCGUAGGUGGCUUGAUAAGCCGGUUGUGAAAGCCCCGGGCUCAACCUGGGAACGGCAUCCGGAACUGUCAAGCUAGAGUGCAGGAGAGGAAGGUAGAAUUCCCGGUGUAGCGGUGAAAUGCGUAGAGAUCGGGAGGAAUACCAGUGGCGAAGGCGGCCUACUGGACUGACACUGACACUGAGGUGCGAAAGCGUGGGUAGCAAACAGGAUUAGAUACCCCUGUAGUC